ensembl:misc_RNA 7SK 7SK RNA
GGAUGUGAGGGCAAUCUGGCUGCGACAUCUGUCACCCUAUUGAUCACUAGGGUUGAUUCGACUGAUCUCUGACUAGCUAGGCGGGUGUCCCCUUCCUCCCUCACGGCUCUAUGUGUGUCCCUCCAGAAGCUCACUCUUGGUCGAAGAGGACGACCAUCCCCAGUAGUGGAGGAUCAUUCUUCUUGAUCAAGGGUAUACAAGUAGCUGUGCUCCCCUGCUAGAACCUCCAAACAAGUUCUCAAAAACUGAGAUCAGUUCGGAGCCCUGAGGAUAGACCAAACGUUAGCAGGUCUCACAAAUCUCUUAAAACUCCAUUCAGAGAGUAGAUUGAG